rnacentral:rRNA from 1 species
AUGCUGGAGAAUUCAUUUCUAAUAGAUACUCGAAUGAAAAAAUUCGAUACCAUAGUCCCCGCUACUCUCCUCAUAGGAUACUUAUCAAAAGCUCAAUUUUGUACUGGAUCGGGGCAUCCUAUUAGUAAACCCAUUUGGACAGAUUUAUCAGAUUGGGAUAUUCUUGAUCGAUUUGGUUGGAUAUGUGCCCUCUUGCUUCUUAAACAGGGGAGUUGA